rnacentral:rRNA from 1 species
GCAAGUCGAGGGGUGUAUAGUCUUCGGAUUAUAGAGACCGGCGCACGGGUGCGUAACGCGUAUGCAACCUGCCUUACACUGGGGGAUAGCCCGGAGAAAUCCGGAUUAAUACCCCAUAAUAUAAUUGAAUCGCAUGGUUUAAUUAUUAAAGAUUUAUUGGUGUGAGAUGGGCAUGCGUUAGAUUAGCUAGAUGGUAAGGUAAUGGCUUACCAUGGCGACGAUCUAUAGCGGGUCUGAGAGGAUGAUC